GGCAGUGUCGCCAUAUCUUCAGUGAAUCAUCGCGCGUCAUAUUGUUUUUGGACAAUGACCUCAGCAUGGCAGUUGUUGCGUCCUGUUAUUAUAUUUAAUGGAGCGCGACCACAUCCUCACGUGUCCGCAGGAAAACCAUAACAACACAGUAGUUUGGCUCGUCUGUGGCAGGCGUGGACCGACUGCUGUCUGUUUGUUGGGGGGGGCAGACAGGACGAUGCCGUUUUCUUGUCACAUCUUUAGAAUCGUGCUAAAAGUAAUUGUUUAGUUCACUUCAAUAACAAAUAAAAAACACAUUUUAAAAAUAGCACACGAAUGGAAGCAGCCCGUAUUUGCUCCUUGGGCAAACGGAAUCGGAUUGUUGAGUCGAAAUAAACGUCAAUUGAAGUGGGAUUUUUUUUUUUAAACGGAUAAUAAAUCGGGAGAGGAGCGUCAGAAAGAGAGACCGCAGCCCAUCUGUGUGUCUCGGCCUCGCACCGCAGGACUCAAACGCGAGCGCAUACCACACAAGGCGCACAAGCAUCGUGCAGGAGAGGAGGCGCAAAUCGCACGAGGAGCGGCGCAUCCCGCCGCACGUGCAGCCAGCAGCAGCAGCAGCAGGCUCGGCCUGCGUGUCCCCGACGGGCGUCGCGUCCCCUCCGCGGACGGUUGUCCGUAUUUAUAAUUAUAGAUGAAGUCAACGUUCGUUUUUAGCAACAACGAAGAGGAGCCCGUGCAGCGACGAGCAUCGACGUGUACAAACAAUUUAGUAAACAACAACAAAAAAAGAAAUUGUGUUAAAGGAUGCGGAUUUCGUUUCCGUAAACGCCAAUUUAUUUUUGUGCAAAUUCAGGCAGUUUUCGUGACCGAAUUUCGGUUUGUUUGAGUGUAAAUCCAGAGGCAAGUUUGAGGCCAAACACAGCGCUGAUUGACAGCUGUCUGCAGCGAUGCGGCCCUUAUUAGUCCGCUCCACUAAUGACACGAGGACUGCAGCCGCGUGCUUGUUGCCAGGCUGCAGCGGCCCCCGCUCGUUUGUCAUAACUCCACUCCAGCGUUCAGCAUUUCUCCUGCCAACAAAGGCUGAUGCGGCUAUUUAACAGCCAUUUUCAAGGUCCAGCGGAGAACGGAUUGAACUCCUUUUCCUCCCCCCCCCUUUUUUUACAUGCUCUAAUCCGCCUUUAACCUAAUUUAAACACAUGCAUACUGGAAUAAAACAACAUCACAGGUGAACGAAGGGGUUAAGAAAAUAAUUGUCCAUUGUAUCACGCUGCAUCACGCAGUCAAAGCUGAAACACAUGUUCUCC
ensembl:lncRNA